rnacentral:rRNA from 1 species
UACGUAGGGGGCAAGCGUUAUCCGGAUUUACUGGGUGUAAAGGGUGCGUAGGUGGCAAGGCAAGUCAGAUGUGAAAGCCCGGGGCUCAACCCCGGUACUGCAUUUGAAACUGUCUGGCUGGAGUGCAGGAGAGGUAAGUGGAAUUCCUAGUGUAGCGGUGAAAUGCGUAGAUAUUAGGAGGAACACCAGUGGCGAAGGCGGCUUACUGGACUGUAACUGACACUGAGGCACGAAAGCGUGGGGAGCAAACAGG